CAGUAGGAACCCAAAAGCCUUUAAUUUCCACCCAAGAAUACUCAAACAGUCAAACUAGUUUCUUUUCCUCAUCUAUCCAUGGCUCUUGUCAGAUAUCAAUUGGAAGCUGCUUCCUCUUCCACUUCCGCUUCUCCUUCUCAGUUCAGCUACGACGUGUUCUUGAGUUUCAGGGGCGAAGAUACCCGUAAGAACUUCACUGAUCACCUCUACACAGCCUUGACAGGAGCAGGACUUCGCACUUUCCGAGACGACGAUGAACUUCCAAGAGGAGAAGACAUCAAACCAGAGCUGGAGAGAGCCAUCCAACACUCGCGAAGCUCCGUCAUCGUGUUUUCUAAAGACUACGCCUCUUCCAAAUGGUGCCUCGACGAGCUUGUCCUGAUCCUUCAACACAGAACGACCUCCGAUCACGUGGUUUUGCCGGUCUUCUACAACGUCGAUCCAUCUCACCUGAGAAAGCAGACGGGGAGCGUUGCGAUCGCAUUUGCCAGACACCAGAAGAAGAGUUCUUUAGAAAAGUUGAAUGCAUGGAGGACAGCACUUGCGCAAGUUGCAGACCUUGCAGGAAUGGUGCUGCAAAAUGAAGCUGACGGGCACGAGUCAAAGUUCAUUCAGAAAAUUGUGAAAGUGAUUGAGGAGAAGUUAUGUCGCCCACGAUUGAGUGUUGCCUCUCGUCUGAUUGGAAUUCAUUGUCGAGUCGAAAAUAUUAAUUCAUGGUUACAAGAUGCAUCAUCUGGUGUUGGGGUAUAUAUACUUUAUGGCAUUGAUGGAAUAGCAAAGACAACCAUUGCACAAGUUGUUUAUAAUCUAAAUUUUAGAAGAUUUGAAGGAUGUAGUUUCCUUGAAAAUAUCAGAGAAACUUCACAAGGAACCAUUGGCUUAGUUCAACUCCAGAGACAACUUCUUUCUGAUAUUUUGGGUGGCAGAAAAGUGAAAAUACAGAAUGUUAGUCAGGGAAUAAGUAAAAUUAGAUAUGCCAUAAACUCUAAAAAAGUUCUUAUUGUACUCGAUGAUGUGGAUUAUAGGAGCCAAUUCAAUGCAAUACUAGGGAUGCGAGAUUCGUUUCAUCCGGGAAGUAAAAUUAUUGUAACAACUAGGGAUGUGGGGAUUCUAGAGGCUUGUCAAGCUGAUAAGAUGUAUAAUGUUAAACCUUUAAAUAGGGUUGAAUCAUUGGAGUUGUUUAGUAGGCAUGCUUUUGGACAGGACCAUCCCAUUGAAGGUUACAUGGAACUUUCACAAUCAGUAGUACGCCACAGCGGUGGACUUCCAUUAGCUCUUCAAACCUUGGGUUCCUCUCUCUCUGGGAAAAGUACAGAUGUAUGGGAAAGUGCAUUAAAGAAAUUGAGAGCUAUUCCAAAUAAUGAAAUCCUACAUCAGCUGAGAAUAAGCUACGACUCUUUACAAGAUGACCAUGACAAAGAUCUGUUCCUCCAUAUUUCAUGUUUCUUUAUUGGAAAGGGCAAGGAUGUCAUUGUCAGGAUACUAGAUGAAUGCGAGUUCUACACAAUUGUUGGCAUUCAAAAUCUUAUUGAUAGGUGCUUGGUAACCUUAGACGAGAAUAAUGUAGUCAAGAUGCAUCAAAUGAUUCGUGACAUGGGAAGAGGAAUUGUUCGCCAAGAAUCAAAGUAUGCAGAGAAACGUAGUAGAUUAUGGCAUCAUAAGGAUUCAUUCAAUGUACUGAAAGAAAAGAGUGGUUCAAAAAAAAUUGAAGGUUUAGCUCUGGACAUGCAAAUGUACCUGGCGGACAUCCCCUCGAGCAAUUCAAACAAGGUAACUCUGGAAACCAAUGCAUUUACAGGGAUGCGCAGACUAAGAUUACUCCAGCUUAGUCAUGUACAACUUAAUGGAUGUUAUGAAGAAUUUCCUGAUGGAUUGAGAUGGUUGUGUUGGGUUAAAUUUCCUUUGGACUCUAUGCCCAAUGAUUUUCCUUUGGAGAGCCUGGUUGUUCUUGAAUUGCAGUAUAGCAGCUUGAAGCGAUUUUGGAAGGGAACAAAAAGUCUUCCAUCAUUGAAAAUCCUUGAUCUGAGCCAUUCUAGUGGCCUUUCUGAAACUGCUGAUUUCUCAAAUUUCCACAAUUUAGAGAAAUUGAUCCUUGUACAUUGUGCUUGCCUUGUUGAUGUCCAUGAAUCCAUAUGCACACUUCAGAAACUUGUUUACUUGAAUAUAAGAGACUGCAAAAAUAUCAGGAAGCUCCCAAAGAACCUUUCUAGGCUAAAAUUACUUGAAACACUUAUCAUAUCUGGUUGCUCAAAUCUUAACGAGUUUCCAGUGGACAUGAGGAAUAUGGAAUCUCUGAAAAAGCUUGAAGCAGAUGAAAUUCCUUUUAAUCAAGUACUAGCUACUACAGGGGAGGUCAAAUCAGUGGCCAUACAUAAAACUAUACAUAAUUUUUGGGGUUCUGUCCCCUGCACUUUAGUUAAUUUGAGUCUUGCAGACUGCAAUCUUUUUGAAGAUGCAUUUCCUAGGGAUUUAAGUAACUUAUCCUCAUUGCGAAGAUUGGAUCUUAGCGACAAUCCAAUUUGUAGCUUACCAGAUUGUGUCCGAGAUCUUAGAGGCCUCGAUCAUCUUGUAUUUUGGGGUUGUUUAAGUCUCAAAUCGCUUGUAGCGCUACCAGGAGUGAGAGAAUUGGAUACUGCCUACUGUGAAUCAUUGGAAAAAAUAACAUUUCAGUCACUUUCUUGUGUUCCAAAGAAGAUAGAUCUUUAUGGUGAUGAAUUAAAAAUAGUUGAGAUUGAAUAUUGGCACAAGCUGGAAGCAAUUGGAAGAGUGGAUGAAGAAAUGAUCAACCUGUUGGGUUUGUGCAACGUGGAGUCCAUGGGAGCCAUUAGGAUGUAUGCGUUCCAUAAGUUCGAUCUGGAUGAGAGGACAUUUGUUCUUCCCGUCCAGGGAGUGCAUGAAUAUGGUAUAUUCAGCACAUAUAUUCCAGGAAACGAAACCGAGGUACCAGGAACAUUCAGCUAUAAAAUUAAGGGGUCAUCCUCACUAUCUUUUACUGUGGUAUUAGUUCAUAAUCUCAGGUUCCGAGGCUUCAAUAUCUUCUGUGUUUAUUAUGGAGGGCCGGCCCAGACUUUAGGCACUUAUGACAAUAUCCCACCAGUAAUUAUUCAAGUAUGUAAUAAUAGCAAGGGUCUGAAGUGGAUCUAUGGACCGACAUGCUACGGUAUUCCAAGUGACAAAAAGGACGUGAUAUGGUUGAGCCAUUGGAAGUUUGGGGUUCAACAAUUGGAAGGGGGCGAUGAAGUGGCUAUUUCAGUGUUUACAAGACCUGGGAUUGAGGUAAAAGAAUGGGGAAUUCAGAUUGUGCAUGAGGAAGAAGAUAGCAUGAGUAGCCAACACAACACCAGUAGAGAUCCUUGUUAUGAUCCAGAACAUGAUAAUGAGGUAAUUGGUAAUAUUGGUGGAGAAUUGUCAGAUUUAUAUGAGGUCAUGCCAGGAAUAUACUUUCUCUACGGUGGACCUUUUUUGAUGGAUCACAGAGAUACUUAUAGUCAUUGGAAAACGCAAGGUUAUUACAAUGACUUCACUGAGGACUCUGAUAAAGAAUCUGCAGAAGAAGGGAAGCUGCAGGGGGAUGGGAUGCUUGCGUCAACAGAAGAAGCUGAAGCAGAAACAGGCAUCAAUAACUUCUGCGGUUGUAAGAUUCUUGUUAUUCAAAUGUUGAUAUCAUUGGUGGAGAUUUGUCAGAAUAUAUGGUGAUGCUGAGAAGAAUACUUCCCCUGCGUUCAAUGACAUCAUUUGAGACUGUCAGGUCCUCUAUUAGUGAUAAGUUAGCAUUAGCAUUACAAGUUUCUGGAGAGGGGCAGCUAGAACUUUUAGUCGAAGAGUCUGCAAGGUUUUAUUUGUCUAGUCGCUUGCAUUAUGGCCACUGUGUUCUUUUUAUCUCAUUCUCUAGUCUCUCCCCCUUCUCUCAGAUGCCUUGAAGGCCUGCAUGAAUUUUUUUCUAUUUGAGAAAUUGCUACUCAACACUGUCAACAGGAAGACGAGGCCAAAUGGGGAGAUAUGUUGAAUCACUGACAGCAGGGUCUCCUACCAAGUUUGAACAUUAUCUUGGGACAAGUGCUACACUGCAAAACCAUUAAUAUUGGAGCCUGUUAUGAUGGUGGCGGAGUUGAAACUACCUGCAUAAUUUCAGGGUGUUGUUGUUGCUGGGGAUAUUAACAAUUAAGUGAGUUUUGCACCACCUUUAUCAAAUAUAUAAGGUCUAAUUUGUUUAAGGAAGAGAGAAUUCGAGAGAGAUUGAUGAGAGAAUUGUAUUUCAUUAUUUGAGAAUAGGAGCCCUAUAUAUAGGGAUUACAGUGUACAUGUUCUAAUGUUACAAGGAAAUCUAAUCCGAAUGGAACUAUGA